GCCGGUGUGGCUCAGUGGGUAGAGUGUUGGCCCGUGGACCAAAGGGUCCUGGGUUCGAUUCCAGUCAAGGGCA
rnacentral:tRNA from 1 species